AGGAUAAACGCUGGCGGCGUGCCUAACACAUGCAAGUCGAACGCGCUUUCGGGCUUCGGUGCGAGAGCGAGUGGCGGACGGGUGAGUAACACAUGGGUACCUGCCUUUCAGUGAGGGAUACCGGCGAGAAAUCGCCGACAAUACCGCAUGGGCUUGUGGGAACACAAGCAAAGUGGCGCAAGCCACGCUGGAAGAUGGGCCUGUGGCCGAUUAGCUAGUUGGGGGGUAACGGCCUCCCAAGGCGACGAUCGGUAGCUGGUCUGAGAGGACGAUCAGCCACACUGGGAUUGAGAACGGCCCAGACUCCUACGGGGGCAGCAGUGAGGAAUUUUCCGCAAUGGACGAAAGUCUGACGGAGCAACGCCGCGUGCAGGAGGAAGGUUUUCGGAUCGUAAACUGCUUUUCUCGGGGACGAGCAAGGACGGUACCCGAGGAAGAAGCCCCGGCUAACUACGCGCCAGCAGCCGC
rnacentral:rRNA from 1 species